ACUCAAAUGAAUUGACGGGGGCCCGCACAAGCAGCGGAGCGUGUGGUUUAAUUCGAUGCAACGCGAAGAACCUUACCAGGGCUUGACAUCCCGCUUAUAGCCACAGAGAUGUGGUGCUCGCAAGAGGUGUGGGACAGGUGCUGCAUGGCUGUCGUCAGCUCGUGCCGUGAGGUGUUGGGUUAAGUCCCGCAACGAGCGCAACCCCCGGGGCUAGUUAGUUUUUUAGCCCGACAGCCGGGACCAACCCGGAGGAAGGUGGGGAUGACGUCAAGUCAGCACGGCCCUUACGUCCUGGGCAACACACACGCUACAAUGGCCGGUACAGCGGGCGUAGCGAAGCCGCGAGGUGGAGCGAAUCUCUGUAAAGCCGGUCCCAGUCCGGAUCGGGGGCUGCAACUCGCCCCCGUGAAGUCGGAGUUGCUAGUAACCGCGGGUCAGCACACCGCGGUGAAUACGUUCCCGGGCCUUGCACACACCGCCCGU
rnacentral:rRNA from 1 species